rnacentral:rRNA from 1 species
CUGGCUCAGGAUGAACGCUGGCGGUCUGCUUAACACAUGCAAGUCGAACGGGACCUUCGGGUCUAGUGGCGGACGGGUGAGUAAAGCGUGAGAAUCUGCCUCCAGGUCGGGGACAACAGUGGGAAACUGCUGCUAAUCCCGGAUGAGCCUAAGGGUAAAAGAUUUAUUGCCUGGAGAGGAGCUCGCGUCCGAUUAGCUAGUUGGUGAGGUAAGAGCUCACCAAGGCAACGAUCGGUAGCUGGUCUGAGAGGACGAUCAGCCACACUGGGACUGAGACACGGCCCAGACUCCUACGGGAGGCAGCAGUGGGGAAUUUUCCGCAAUGGGCGAAAGCCUGACGGAGCAAGACCGCGUGCGGGAGGAAGGCCCUUGGGUCGUAAACCGCUUUUCUUAGGGAAGAAGCUCUGACGGUACCUAAGGAAUCAGCCUCGGCUAACUCCGUGCCAGCAGCCGCGGUAAUACGGAGGAGGCAAGCGUUAUCCGGAAUUAUUGGGCGUAAAGCGUCCGCAGGCGGCUUCUCAAGUCUGCUGUCAAAGACCAGAGCUCAACUCUGGGCCGGCAGUGGAAACUGAGAAGCUAGAGUACAGUAGGGGUAGAGGGAAUUCCCAGUGUAGCGGUGAAAUGCGUAGAGAUUGGGAAGAACACCGGUGGCGAAAGCGCUCUACUGGGCUGUAACUGACGCUGAGGGACGAAAGCUAGGGUAGCGAAAGGGAUUAGAUACCCCUGUAGUCCUA